AGUCUGCAGCUGGCCUGGGAGGCAGACCCCAGAAAAAACAGGAGCUGGUAGUAGGCGCGGACUCUGGCUAGUCUGGGUUAGCCUGAAGAGAUGACCCACCGGAAUCAGGACACGAAAGGUUCACAUCAGACGUUAAAGAGCAUUUCUGAAUCAUCAGGACCCCGAAGGAGUCCCAGAAACAGCCAGUCUAACAAGCAAACCAGGCAGAGAUUCCUGUAGUAGCCAGUGACACCCUUGAAGUCGGGAUCCUCAAACCUCCAUGUUCCAAGUGCUGCACUUACAGGCGUGUGACAUCUUGCUGAGCUUAAAACCUUGAGGGAGCUGACAAUCCGGAAUGAUGGAGCCUUCUGUGUGACUUUAAGGGUGUGCCCUGGAGACUAUUCAAGCUGUAGCUGAAUGUUGACCUGUGCUGUUGGAGGCAGUUCCAGAAGAUUGGCUCAGCUGACACAGAGUUUGAUGAGAGAUUUCCAAGACAGAAUCAGAGAUCCUUUCAAGUGGUUUAGAGAAAACUUGUUUCUCUGCACUCAAGAAAUGCUUACCAUCUCUUAAAGACAAGCUGACUGGAAGCUGAGCGGGGUCUCACCUGGACAAAAGCCUUCUUGGACAGACUAACUUUGCAGAGGUUGCACAUAGAGCAGUAACCUCCUUCCCAGAGACUAGAAGGAAGACGAGCUACUGUUGCUUCUGCUGCUGGCCAUCUUUGGGUUGCCUACGAUAUCAUUCCGUAUGUUCUACUUGUUGAUGAAUAGCAAACUUGUGAUAACACGGAGAGGGGAGCAGAAGAAAUGGCUUAAUUGCACGGCUCUCUGUCCUUUGUGGAAUGCACAUCACUGAGUGAAGAGAACAAUUCCUGGGAGAGAGUGUGUUGCACUUUCGUUUCCAGCACCAGUUCUGUGCACGGAGCAAGUAACCCCAAGCACACCUAUCAGGAAACUGGAAAGCCACUCAGUCCUUCAGGUGUUUCUCAAGACCUACUAGACAUGGCAUUGGACUAUGUAUGCGGAUGGUGGCAGAAUCUUUGCUGAUGGUGCCAUCACACCCAACAGCAGGAGAAAGGAGCUAGCCGAUGCCUCUGUGCUGUGAAAGGCUCUGCCUUAUUCUUGUCUCCAGUAGCCCAGCAUGAUGCUGAGCUUCUGUUGGGAGCCAGACUAUGCCAUGAAUGAUGGAGUUUCAGGCUUUGCUAUGCCUGGAACAUGUUGCUCAGUGGGAGGCAGGCGUCUUGUUUUCUUUUACUCCCAUUUGGCCAGAGCAUCUCAUUAUGUAAGACCGCCACUGUUUAUCUGCACCGUAUUUUUACAAGGGUUGUUCUAAGGUUUGGCAGAUAGGAGGGAAUAUUUCAUGAAGCAGGGUUCGUAAUGAACAAGGCCUUAAAUGAAGUUUCUGUAGGACCUAAAAGGUGUUCAUUCUGAGAAUAUUUAAUGCUUGCUUUCUCUCUCUCUCUCUCUCUCUCUCUCUCUCUCUCUCUCUCUCCCUCUCUCCCUCCCUCCCUCUCUCUCUCUCUCUCUCUCUCUUUCUUUCUUUCUUUCUUUCUUUCUUUCUUUCUUUCUUUCUUUCUUUCUUUCUUUCUUGUUCACAUCCAUUGGAUUUAGAUGAGAGGCCAAUGGUGAGCCAGGAACUAUUACUACAUCUUAUACUACAUCUUAAUUUAUGUUUUAAAGAAACCAAAAUGUAUCAUGCUGUUGCUAGAGAAUAUUUACCUUUAUCUCAUCUUGGCAAAUACUUCUAAAACCUUGUCUGUCAUGGAGCAGAGCCUUGUCUUUGGAAAGUCCUGUCUCUCCAUGAGCCAACCUAAAACAUACAGCGCCACUUUAAACGGCUUGUGGCUGACACUGAGUUGCCUAUGAAUGGGUUAUUUCAUGAAGGUGUAGUUGGGAAGAUGGAAUGACGUGCCAAGUGUGCUAAAAAAUUAGUUCUUUGUUCAAAUAUUAUUUUAUUGUUAGCUCUUAGAGCAUUGUAAUCUAACAGUUACUACAUAAAUCUGGGAACUAAUAAAAUGGCUUCAACGC